CAUGAACCGGUGUCAGUUGGUUAACAUCAACAAGAUGCCAGUGAUUGUGUUAAACGGGAAAUCAGUGUGAUGCUGAUGCUGCCCCCGCAACGGUAAUCUCAAUACUCAACGAGUAUGUCUUUUCAAACGCCACUGUCUAUAACGUAAGUGCUAUGCUUGCUGAUUAGAUGGGAAGGCAAAAGAGUUACAGCUCCUCAGAUAUUUUUUUAUGCUAGUGAUUUUAUUAGUUUGAUUAAAGAUAUUUGAUUUCAAUUAUGUGAGCGACUAACGAGAGAGCCCGGAUACCGGCCUGUGCUUCACGGCUUAG
rnacentral:ncRNA from 2 species